AGCUCUUUAGUUUAAUUAGAUCCCAUUUGUCUAUUUUGGCUUUUGUUGCCGUUGCUUUUGGUGUUUUAGUCGUGAAGUCCUUGCCCAUGCUUAUGUCCUGAAUGGUAUUGCCUAGGUUUUCUUCUAGGGUUUUUAAUGGUUUUAGGUUUAACAUUUAAGACUAUAAUCCACCUUGAAUUAAUUUUUGUAAAAGGUGUAAGGAAGGGAUCCAGUUUCAGCUUUCUACAUAUGGCUAGCCAGUUUUCCCAGCACCAUUUAUUAAAUAGGGAAUCCUUCCCCCUUUUCUUGUUUUUGUCAGGUUUGUCAAAGAUCAGAUGGUUGUAGAUGUGUGGUGUUAUUUCUGAGGCCUCUGUUCUGUUCCAUUGGUCUAUAUCUCUGUUUUGGUACCAGUACCAUGCUGUUUUGAUUACUGUAGCCUUGUAGUAUAGUUUGAAGUCAGGUAGCAUGAUGCCUCCAGCUUUGUUCUUUUGGCUUAGGAUUGUCUUGGCAAUGUGGGCUCUUUUUUGGUUCCAUAUGAACUUUAAAGUAGUUUUUUCCAAUACUGUGAAGAAAGUCAUUUGUAGCUUGAUGGAGAUGACACUGAAUCUAUAAAUUACCUUGGGCAGUAUGGCCAUUUUCACGAUAAUGAUUCUUCCUAUCCAUGAGCAUGGAAUGUUCUUCCAUUUGUUUGUGUCCUCUUUUAUUUCGUUGAGCAGUGGUUUCUAGUUCUCCUUGAAGAUGUCCUUCACAUCCCUUGUAAGUUGGAUUCCUAGGGAAUUGUGAAUGGGAGUUCACUCAUGAUUUGGCUCUCUGUUUGUCUGUUAUUAGUAUAUAGGAAUGCUUGUGAUUUUUGCACAUUGAUUUUGUAUCCUGAGACUUUGCUGAAGUUGCUUAUCAGCUUAAGGAGAUUUUGGGCUAAGACAAUGGGGUUUUCUAAAUAUACAAUUAUGUCAUCUGCAAACAGGGACAAUUUGACUUCCUCUUUUCCUAGUUGAAUACCCUUUAUUUCUUUCUCUUGCCUGAUUGCCCUGGCCAGAACUUUCAACACUAUGUUGAAUAGGAGUGGUGAGAGAGGGCAUCCCUGUCUCGUGCCAGUUUUCAAAGGGAAUGCUUCCAGUUUUUGCCCAUUCAGUAUGAUAUUGGCUGUGGGUUUGUCAUAAAUAGCUCUUACUAUUUAUUAUUCAUAUUCUUAUUAUUUAUAUUUCACUAAUCCCUGUUGGUCAGGCUGUUGGGACAGUGACCUGGUCCUGUGCCUGUUUUUAUUUUUUUUAUUUUUUUUAUUUUUUAUUUUUUAGACAGAGUUCCGUUCUUGUCACCCAGACUGGAGUGCAAUGGUGCAAUCUCAGCUCACUGCAACUUCUACCUCCUCGGUUCAAGCAAUUCUCCUGUCUCAGCCUCCCAAAGUAGCUGGCGCCUGCCACCAUGCCCAGCUAAUUUUUUGUAUGUUUAGUUGAGACAGGGUGUCACCAUGUUGGUCAGGCUAGUCUCGAACUCCUAACCUCAGGUGAUCACCCUCCUCGGGCUCCCAAAGUGCUAGGAUUAAAGGCGUGUGCCACAGCACCCGGCCCUGUGCCUGUGACAGUGAUGCACCCCCACCACCCCUGGCAGUCACUGCUGCCUCGGGCUUCUGUCAUCUCAGGUCUUGGUUUCCACUCCAGAAAUCCAGAGGCAGGCCACUGGCCAGACACCUUCCCUGGACACUAACACAUUCCGAAGGGUGUUGGGCCCUCUGCAAGGUGGCUCGCCGUGUGGGUGUAGGGCCGGUACUUUGGGUCCUUGGGCAUUGUGGUAAAGGGUCAUCCAUGCUCAGUCCAUUCCUCUGGCUCUGUCAUGCCUUGGUGUCUCUGUCAUCUCCAGGUUGGGGGGGGGGGGGGCAACCUCUGCGUUGGCCUUCACCUCACCUGCCAGCCGACAAAGCAGUGGUAGAAACAAUCAGGGCCGCCCCCCGCUGAUGAAGUUGGCACCUUGGAUGCAGGGCCCCCUGUUGGUGGAGCAGCAUGGAUACAUUCAGCCCCAUCCAAAGCUGCAUUCGCUCCUCCUUGACGUAUGUCCUCAGAACCCACUCACACAUCUCCCCCAGAUGUCUGAUGAUAGGAAAUGACAUUCUACACAGGUUUUGGUUUGAGAUUGCUAUUUAAUCUCGCCCCUCAGGGCCUCCUGCCACCUGACUCCAGCUGAAGACUCUGAGGAUGGGGGCCACAUGAGGGUGAUUACAGGGUCCCUUCUUCGGCAGGACCAGCCGCAUCAGACAGCGAAGAGGAGCUGCUCAGCUGGCAAGGGGACUUGGCGGGGAGUGAGGGUUCAGGGUGUUCCAAUCAGCCAGAAUCCUCCUUAGAGCUGGCAAUGAAUUCUCAAUGAAGCUUUGUUUUCAACGGGCUCUUCCUUCCCGGUGACUCCAGGUGGCAAAUCUGACAUUCUGCUUCCCCUGCAUGCCAUGGCUUCCAGAUCUGAGCCCUUAUGAUGUGCUGAAUUUUUACUGACUUCAGCCCCAAGCAGUCCAGAUAACCAAUUCCAGCUUCUCCGAGCUUCCUCCAACAUCCACUGCCUGUAACCACUCCUGACACCAACUUCUAUAUAAGGCAAGGUUCUUAGUUGCAGGUAACAUAAACCAGCUCCGGUUAACUUAUAAAGAAACGGAUGUUCAAAGAAUGGAUAUUGAAAAGGAUAUUCAAAGAAUUCCAGGUGACUCAUGCAUUGCUGAGCAGGCUUGGAGACCUGGUUUUGUGGUAUGCAAACAGGAUCAGUCCUCUCCAAUGCAGCCUGAGGUCAGUGCUCUGAACACCUGUUUGACACUGCAGCCCCUGUGACUGGCACCUUCCAACUGAAUACCCAGCACUGGGCACUGUGGCUCCACGGCUCAGCCAGGGAGACGCUCUGCUUCUUUGCAGCACUAAUUUUGUUGUUCAGUCUUGAGUUGGUGUGCCUGACUGGUGAGCCUCACAGACUUCAGCUGUGUCUGAGAAAGGGCGUAGUGGGGAUUUUUAGUUUCUAGGCGGGCGGGCGGGGGGUGGUCCCUGGGUCCACAGCCUACAAGGUGCGGUUCAGACGGUGUGUGGUCAAAACAACGAAACGUAAGUGGAAUGUCUGUUUCAUUCUGUACCACGUUUCUUCCAUUUCUUCCAGCUGAGCACAGGAUGAGGCUGCCUGCCCAGAUAGCUGUCCCUUCUGACUUAGGAUCUCUUUGGCUGUACAUUGAAGGAUGAAGAAGUGUGUAGCUGUUUUACCUAUGACUGGAUUCCCAGAUCCUAGCUCAGCUGCGGACACACCAUGGGCACUCACUUCAUGUUGUUAGGUGAUGGAACAUGUCUUGUGGGGACAGGACUAAGGGUGAGACACCUGCCCCAGGUGCAAAGGUUAAAGGGGCACCAAAAAUUCUCAGUGAUCAAAAUAAGUCAUCAUUUCAUGCAAUAUGUAUAUAUUUUUUGAGGCAGAGUCGUGCUCUGUCACCCAAGCUGGAGUGCAGUAGCGUGAUCUCAGCUCACUGCAACCUUCGCCUCCUGGGUUCAAGUGAUUCUUGUGCUUCAGCUGCCUGCGUAGCUGGGACCACAGGCACAUGCCACCACACCUGGCUAAUUUUUGUAUUUUUAGGACAGACAGGGUUUUGCCAUGUUGGCCAGGCUGGUCUCAAACUCCUGACCUCAAUGAUCUGCCUGCUUCAGCCCCCUGAAGUGCUGGAAUUACAGGCGUGAGCCACCACGCUCAGCCUCAUGCAGUAUUUUAAGAAAUCAAAAUUAAUGCAAACAAGUUCACCACGAGCCAGUCCGGGAGUGGUGGCUCAUGCCUGUAAUCCCAGCACUUUGGGAGGCCGAGGUGGGCAGAUACUUGAGGUCAGGAAUUUGAGACCAGUCUGGCCAACAUGGUGAAACCCCGUCUCUACUAAAAACACAAAAAUUAGCCAGACAUGGUGGCGGGCGCUUGUAAUCCCAGCUACUUGAGAGGCUGAGGCAGGAGAAUCGCUUGAACCUGGGAGGCGGAGGUUGUAGUGAGCUAAGAUUGCACCACUGCACUCAAGCCUGGGUGAGCGAGACUCCAACUCAAAAAAAAAAAAAAAAAAAAAAAAAAGAAAGAAAGAAAAAAAAUUUACCAUGAGCCAAAAUUUCAAAAUUUCACUUCAAGACAGGAGUUGAAACGAGCACUUACACAAUGCCUCGCUCGCCUCACUCUAAUCUUGGCUUUGUCAGAUCCUGUCUUGUUUUAAAAUGUUGUGCUCCGGGUGUGUGCCUGGCUUGCCUCACCGCAGCCCGGGCCCUGCUGACCCAGCUCCAUGUUCACUGUCCUUUCUUCUUCCUUCUGUGGCCUUGGUUUUGGGUCCUCACUCUCUUUUGACCCAACCAUUGAGAAACUCCUCUGGGGUUCCUUCUCCUCACCCCGGACUAUCCCACCAUGAGCCACGUCACUCUCUGCUGCCCCCUUAGGCUUCUUGACACAGAGUAGUCAAGCCACUCCCUUGCUCAUAACCUUCUAUGACUUCUGACCCCAGGCGAGGCUCACACUCACCAACAAGGCAUGCAGAACCCUCUGUGGUCAGCCCAGGGAGGCUUCUUCCUCCCAAGCCUCCCCGCCUGUCACCUGCCCUCCUCCUCCAUAUCCAGGCCGUGCCUUUCUCCACAUCUGUACUUCACUGACUAUCUUCAAAGUCAACCUCAAAUUCACUAGAAAACCGCCCCUGGAGGAAUGUAAAAUGGUAUAGCCACUGUGGAAAACAGCAGGGUGGUUCCCCAGAAACAUUCACACAGAAUUACGAUAUGACCCAGCAAUCCCACUUCUGGGUAGAUACCCCAAAGAACUUAAAACAGGGUCUCGAAGAAAUAUUUGCACACCCAGGUUCACAGUGGAAUGAUUCACAAUAGCCAAAAGGUGGAAGCAUGGCCGGGCACGGUGGUUCACGCCUGUGCUCCCAGCACUUUGGGAGGUUGAGGCAGGCGGAUCACCUGAGGUCAGGAGUUCGAGAGUUGGCCAGCCAACUCUCUGUUGUUCAGCCUGGCCAACAGAGUGAAACCCUGUCUCCACUAAAAAUACAAAAAUUAGCCGGGCGUGGUGGCGGCCACCUGUAAUUCCAGCUACUCGACAGGCUGAGGCAGGAGAACCACUUGAACUUGGGAGGUGGAGGUUGCAGCGAGCCAAGAUCGCGCCACUGCACUCCAGCCUGGGUGACAGAGCGAUAUUCCAUUUUGGUAUUGCUAGAAAGAAAUACCAGAGGCUGGGCAAUUUAUAAAGAUGAGGUUUCAUUGGCUCACAGUUCUGCAGGCUGUACCAGCAUGGCGCCAGUGUCUGCUCCUGGUGAGGCCUUACGGACGUUACAAUAACGGCGGAAGGCAAAGGCGGAGCAGGCAUGUCGCAUGGUGAGAGCAGAAGCACGAGAGAGUGGGGGGCAGGGGUGCCACAGACUUUUUUUUUUUUUUUUUUUUUUUUGAGACGGAGUCUCGCUCUGUCGCCCAGGCCGGACUGCGGACUGCAGUGGCGCAAUCUUGGCUCACUGCAAGCUCCGCUUCCCGGGUUCACGCCAUUCUCCUGCCUCAGCCUCCCGAGUAGCUGGGACUACAGGCGCCCGCCACCGCGCC
rnacentral:lncRNA from 1 species